rnacentral:rRNA from 1 species
UACGUAGGGUCCGAGCGUUGUCCGGAAUUAUUGGGCGUAAAGGGCUCGUAGGCGGUUCGUCACGUCGGUUGUGAAAGCCCGGGGCUUAACCCCGGGUCUGCAGUCGAUACGGGCAGGCUAGAGUGUGGUAGGGGAGAUCGGAAUUCCUGGUGUAGCGGUGAAAUGCGCAGAUAUCAGGAGGAACACCGGUGGCGAAGGCGGCUCUCUGGGCCUUACCUGACGCUGAGGAGCGAAAGCGUGGGUAGCGAACAGG